rnacentral:rRNA from 1 species
AGAACGAACGCUGGCGGCAUGCCUAAUACAUGCAAGUCGAACGAACACUUCGGUGUUAGUGGCGCACGGGUGCGUAACGCGUGGGAAUCUGCCCUUGGGUUCGGAAUAACAGUUGGAAACGACUGCUAAUACCGGAUGAUAUCGAAAGAUCAAAGAUUUAUCGCCCAGGGAUGAGCCCGCGUAGGAUUAGCUAGUUGGUGAGGUAAAGGCUCACCAAGGCGACGAUCCUUAGCUGGUCUGAGAGGAUGAUCAGCCACACUGGGACUGAGACACGGCCCAGACUCCUACGGGAGGCAGCAGUGGGGAAUAUUGGACAAUGGGCGAAAGCCUGAUCCAGCCAUGCCGCGUGUGUGAAGAAGGUCUUCGGAUUGUAAAGCACUUUAAGUUGGGAGUAAGGUUGUAACUUAAUACGUUGCAACUUUGACGUUACGACAGAAUAAGCACCGGCUAACUUCGUGCCAGCAGCCGC